UCUGUAAUAGACUUUUAUGCCUUUGGGCUUCGUUACUACUGAGGUGCUUUCAAAUGUUCACCAUAAUAUGUUUAUACAGAUGUUAUCCCGUUGAUUUUAGAACUUUUACUCCAUCUUCUUCCUUAGUUGAAGGUUCAAUGCAAUGCGCAACCUCUGCCCUGAACAGAAUUUUUGUGAGAGCUAAAAUAGUAAAUAUUAGAUGAAUGCUUAACAUGGAUCACUAUCCAUUUCAUUGUUUUAACAUUGGGUUAAAACAAGUCCCGCAUCAACUUCAUAAUAAGUCGGAUGAUUGCACCAGCUCAAUAACUUUUUCAUUGGAUUUCACUCCAGCAAACCGGAAACAUAACUGGAACUAGUGGACUUGCCAGCGAACUGAAGACUUCUUCGCUUCACUUCACUUCAUCAACAGAAGAUUGUAUGUUACUGUCUGAGGAACCACCCUCAACCACUGCUGUCUCGUCUGCCUUCUUCAACUUCAAUGCAUUCUGCUUCAUCUCCACUGCCUCAGGCCCCACCGUGGCCUCCGAUAAUAUUCUUGCCAGCGAUCUGAAGACUUGCUCGCUUAACUUCAUCAACAAAAGAUUGUAUAUUAUAUGUCGGAGAAACCUCUACAAUUUUGAAUGGUAACGAUGGUAGGUCUCCUAAAACUAAGUAUUUUCUUGUCUUUGAUGACAAUGAUAAUGAUGGGACAAAUAAACAUAUAUUAAACAUAGAGUAAUGAUACAGAGAAUGUAAUUGACGGUUAUAUUUUAUCAUAUGAAAAUAAAAUUAAAUUUUUAAAUGAAAAUAAGGACGAAUGGGUUGAUAGCAUUCAUAAUAAUUAAUGCAGAUAUAAAUAGUGAUGUUGCAAAUUGCAGGAUUAGCAAAGGUGGUAGAGAUGACAGACGACAGAGGUGUUGAGGAUAAUUCUCCUAAUUAUAAUUCAUAUAUUUUUAGAAAAUGAUAUCGAGAUUAGAGUUUAUAUUUUUUUUUAAUGCUCAACCCAAAUAAGUUACAUUGAAUGAGAUAGGACUGAAAAUUAGUAUUGUUUCACAUUAUAAUGUGCAUACUCACAUCGAGAUUUCUGUUUUUAUUUAAGGAUGAUUACUGAUUACAAAUGUUUAUAUUUAGCAAACAUGCUAGUUUGCUAUUUUUUUUCUUUGCUAAUAAUGUUAAUUUAAACACUAGUGAGGAAGAAAAAGAUGCAUAAAUGGUGUAUAUGUUGUAAUAUAGUGUUUGGUAACGUGGUAGAGGUUGUUUUUUAAAGUGUUUUUUAUUUGGAAAUAUAUCAAAAUAAUGUAUAUUUUAUUUUUAACAUCAGCACAUUAAAAUGAUAAAAAAAUAUUAAAAAAUUUAAUUUAAUAAAAAAAAUCAAAUUUAGUGAUAUGCGAUAGUGGUUGCUUUUCAAAAUAUUUUUUUACUCGAAAAUACAUCAAAAUAAUAUAUUUUUUAUUUUUAAAAAUUUAUUUUUAACAUCAUUAUAUCAAAAUAAUUCAAAAACAUAUAAAAAAAACUUUAAAAAAUUUAUUUUUUUAGCACACACCAGACCAGCCGCAUUGUAAACAAUACUUUAAAAACACAAGAAAUCAGGUACAAUUGUUACUUUUGAAAUUACACUACAACAACUAGUUAAUGAUAAACCAAUAGAUUUCAACAUUUAAUUAAGAGCACUUUAGAUAUUAGAAAAUCAUAAUGAAAAACUUGUAAUGUUACCAAUUCAAUGAUGCAACGUGUAAUAUAAAAUCAAAAAUAUAAUUUAUAUAAAUUUGAUAUGCAGAGCUUUCUCACACUCAAAAGACAUGAAGUUUUUAAUAAAUUUCUCUUUUUCUUCUUCUUUUUUUUUUUUUAUCAUAAUAACAUAGAAACUUCUAUCUAGCUAGCAGAUAUAUAUAAUUAAUGUUUCUAGCUUCCUUUUUAUUUAAUUUUGAGGUAUUGUUACUUUUAUUUGGUGGUUUUUUUUUUUAACAGAACAUCAAGUGUGUGUUAGUAACAUGUUUUCAUUGCUCUUGCAAUAUCAUCAUUCCAUUAAAAACUCUAUAAAAAAUAGGGGUGAGUAAAAAAAAUAAAAAAUUAAUUAAAUCGAAAAACUAGAAAAAAAUUGAUUAAAUUGAUUAGAAUUUUUAAGAAAACCAACCGGUUCGGUUCGGUUUUAUAAGCCUGAAACCGAAAAACCGAACCGAGCCGAACCCAAACCGAGCAAAACCGGAAAAAAACCAGUUUUCAUUCUAAAAUAAACGAACCGAACCGAAACCGGUAGGUUUGGACCAGUUUCGGUUCGGACCAAUUUCGGUUUGUUUUCAGUUUUUUUUUUAAAAAAACUGGCUUGGUUACUUUUUUUGAUAAAAACCGAACCGAACUGAAAAUGACCACCCCUAUAAAAAAGCACAUUAAAUACAUUAACUAACACUAAUGAAAUAAAAUUAGAUAACAGGCUUUGCUUUUAAAACACAACUAUUUUUACCUAGAUGUAAGAGUAUUAAUUGAUUAGAAUUUGCUUUUUUCUUAAUAAAAAUACAAAAUAGUUAUUCUCAAUCUUUUUAAAUAAAAAUAGACAUGACAGUUAAUUACUUAUAAAUAUUAUGUUUACUUCAUUUCUGGUUUCUAUUGGUGUGGUUGACUAUGACCGCGCGCAUUAAAGUGCAUAAGAAAUAAAUUAGCUCCCUGUAAUAAUUUGUCUUGAUUAACUUAGGACAGGACUUGACGUCUGACUCCCUAAUUAUCUAAUCAAAUUAUUCUUAAGAAAAAAAAGAUAAUCUAAUUAAAUCCCAAUUAUCAUUCUAUAUCUCAAAAGAAAAGAAAAAUGCAUUGAUUGCGAUUAUUAAUGAUUAGAGACAAGAAUUGUAGCUCGAAAGCCAUUUAAUUGAUUAAAAAAGAAACUUAAGCCAAAUGUGCUCGAUUAUUAAUGAUCGAUUAUUAAUGAUUAGAGUUGUAAUGUUAAAUUCUUAACCAUGCAUAAUCCUUUCUUUCUUGAAAAUUAAAAAAAUCCUUGAGACAAUAUAUUUUCAAAACUAAAAUUUAUUAUCCUCCACUCACUUGAUGAUCUAUCACUUAUUUUUAAAAAAAAUAAAUCCAUAUUUUUAUAUUUCUUUGAAUUUUGAUUACUGCUCGAUAUUAAAAACUUUAAUGAUAUAAUCAUAAGACAAUCAUGAAUAUAAUAAAAACUAAAAAUAUUACAACAAUUUUAAUUUUCAACAUUAAUUUUCAACAACCAUUCCAAGCAAUUCAAACCAAUAAGAUAUUAGCAAAUUAUAAAUUCGAUAACAACCAUACAUAUGGCCUUUAUAUUAUUAAUAGCUAAUUAAAAGAAGUAAAAAGCAGACAACUACAUAACAAGAGUAAUUUCAUCAUACUAACACUGGAUUAAACCCGUUCCAUAUACACUGCAUAUAGAGAAAAUCUCCUCAUGCCGAUGACCCCACCAGUUCAUCGACUUUCUCGUUGGACUUCACCACUACCGACACUGGAAACUCAUUAGAACCAAUACACUUUCUAGCGAUCUCAGACUCAUUCGCUUUUACAAUAUCGUCUGUAAAAUAUCGUAUAUUCCAGUCGGAGGAACCACCCUCAGCCACUGCUGCCGCGGCUGCCUCCUUCCAUUUCAUUGCAUUCUGCUUCAUUUCCACUGCCUUAGGUCCCACUGUGGCCUCCAACAAGCAUUUCUCUAUCUCAUCACGAGUAAUCAGUUUGUUCUCUGCUUCUCCGCGGCACAUUCUCACACCAACCUUAAGGAUGUCGACCAAAUAUUUUGCAUUAGUUACUUGAUCACCCCAUUGAGGGAAAGCCACCACUGGCAUGCCUGAUGUGAGUGCUUCCAUAGUAGAGUUCCACCCACAAUGUGUUACAAAGCACGCAACUGAUGGGUGACCUAAAACCUUCUCUUGAGGACUCCAUUGCACCACUUUGCCCCUGUCUCCUGCUUUCUCCAAGAACCCAUCUGGCAGAACAAGGAGGUCAUGUCCUGCAUCUUUGUGGGCUGGUUUCAUAACUAACAAGAAGGAGACGCCCGAAUUCAAAAACCCAUAAGCGAUCUCGUUCCAUUGGUCUUGCUUCAAUUGUACGACACUACCGAAAGACACGUAAACAACUGAUGAAGGUGGCUUUGUGUCAAGCCAUUCGAUGCAAUCAUCUGCCUUCAGGAAGUCUCCAUGGACCGUUGUCUUUGGUGCCUUAGUAUUUCUGAAUAGCGGCCCAACGGCCCUGAUGGGGAAGAUUUCGGACAUGUGCUUGAUAAGCUCUGGUUCAAGCUCUUCGAAUGUUUCCAUCAGGAUGCAAAAUGGCUUGUCAAGAUUUUUGUACUGACCUAAAAUAGCCCUCCUCAAGAAAGGAUAAGGAGUUGUAGGAUACAAGUAACUAGGCACUUCAUCAUAUUUUAGGAGAGGCAUCCAUGGUAGUUGGACAUCUAUCUCGGGGUGCUCCUCAUCAGGGAAAGGUACAGUACCGUGAUAGUAAUGGUAAUAUGAGGCAAAACAAGCGCAGGAUUGAACCCAAAGCAUUGCAGAAGGGAGACCUAGACUUGUGGCCACAUCUGUAACCCAAGGAAUGAAAGGGUUGUUUAUGAGGCAAGAAACAGGCCGCCCUUGCUCUGCAUUUUUCUUGAUCAUUUGAGGAAUUACUUGUUUACCAACAAGCUCAAGUUGAAGUAAGUAUUGAUCAAGGUCUUGGUGCCUAUCCUCGUCCUCUUCCCAUCCAUCUGCAAAGAAUUCAAACCGGAUAAAGCCAUCACCAAACGGGGUCAGCUUAUCUAUGAUGUCACUGGCUUGUCUCAUCUGUUCGCCAGUGGUUUCUGUAGUGGAGAAGGUGACAAGGAAGCCUUUGGAGGCAAGAAUUUUUCCAAGUCUAAGUAAAGGAUUUACAUGGCCUUGGCCUGGGAAAGAAACAAGGAAGAGAUGGCCAAGAGACUCGGAAACCAUUUUUCUCUUCCGGGUUUUUGGACAGGCAGAGAGACGGAAGAGAUUGAUGAACAGGAGAGGACUUGAUGAGUUUGGGAAUGAGUGGUGAGCAUGGAAUGAAAGGAUGCUGAUAUAUAUACCAUUUAUAAGGAGUUACAUUCAAAGUUUUUAGUGAUAGAUAGAUCUACAGAGACUGUUAGUUGGCUGACGGUCAAAUGCAUACAAUGUUUCAAUUAUAACUCUUUCCUUGGCUUCUUCCAACAGAAGAUGAAAUAAAAUUUGAUUACGCUAGUUAAUUAACUGUAGCUUUCAAUGAUUUUGCAGUCAUAUUAGAGCAAAAUGUAUAUUGUGAUUAUAGAAGCGAGAAACACAUCUAUUUGCAAUUUUGCAUGUCGAUUAUUAUUCUCUUUUUCCGAUCAUGGAAAUCAGUAGUCAAGACAUGUUUGAAAAUCUUUGGAAAACACUCAGAAACCCAAUACAUCGGGUAAACCAACAACUUAUACCGACUGAAUGAUGAACAUUAUGGCCAAGGUUAGCUAGUCAUUCCGCCCAACAAUUGGCUUCGCAGAAGGUUUGUCGGAUCGGCACCUCCCAUUGCCUGGAAAACAACUGUUGAGUUUCUGUCAGGAUGGGAUCCUGGAUGAGUCUCCUCUAAAAACUGUCGCAAGAACUGCAGAAUCAACCUCUAGUUCAGUCCUGGUACAUCCUAAAUUCCAAGCUAAAUCUGGUCCGUAGAAAGCAGCCCACGAUUCAGCUUUCGUAGAGAACAAAUACCCAAUUUAGCUGCGAAGCCAUGAAUUUAAUUUAAGGAUUUAUGGCAGUAAUUUUGCAAUUUUAUUUUAUUUUAUUUUCUUUUUUAUAAUAUUAUGGCUUUGAGACUUUAAUUAGUAAAGCUUUAUUUUUUUACAUGUGAUACACUGCUGGUUGGAUAAUUUUUUUAGCCUUUAAAAAAAUAUAAAAAUAUUAAAAAGUUAAAAAUUUAAUGUGUCAAAUAAAAAAAAACUUUUAAAAUAUUAAAAUAUUGAUAUAUUAGAUGAUAUAUUAUUUUUUUUAAAAAAUAUUAAUAUAAUGAUAUAUUAAAUUGACCUCGAUCAACUAUAAUGAAACUCAUUAUCCAAGAUAGGAAAAUGUAAUAAUCUCAUGAAAGCUAUACAAAAACAAAUUGAAAAGGAAAUCGUGACAAAAAAAAAACCAAAUUUAAAAAAGAAAGCACUCAAAAAAAUAAACCAGUGCAUACAAGCCAUCUAAAACGAUGUUUGGGUCCAAUAGAUAAAAUUGAUCAGACACCCAAGACAGAAAUAUGAUCGUCAUUUUAAACGCCCCCAUAAAAGUUUCACCAUGUGAUAAAGGUCUUGAAGAAAUUCGAGUUAAAUUCCUUCCUUCUCGACCAAUUCAAAAAGAAAUCUCCAUUGCCAUUAAUCAUAAAUAAAGAUUGUUAUUGAGAUGGCCUGCGCUAGCUGAAUAGCUAGCCUCCCUUUCUUUUGGGGGCAAACCAAAUGAAUUCAUUGAAACAAGGAGCGAAAAGGCACUCAAGCGGAAAGAAAAGCAUCCUGAUGAGAGAAGCCGAAGCUCCCACAAAAUUACAGACCUACAAAAGCAGACAAAAGAAUCCAUUUCAGAGCCAAAAAAUAUGUGCUUCCAGUUUCAAAUCCUUUGAAGCAGAGCUCGAGACCAGUUAAAUGGUGUUACUUCAACAGCAACCAGUUAUGCCAGCUGUUUUGACCAUUAGUUCUAGGACCUCCACGAAAUUUUUUUGGGUUUGAUGGGUGGUUAAGAUAACAUACCCAUCAACACUCUUUCUUUCUUUCUUUCUUUCUUUUUAUCAAGAACGACGGGGAUAAAGCCUAAAACAUAAAAUUACAAUUUACAAGCAAGGUAACAUAUAUCCCAUGAUUAUCUUCAACGAUUGAAUUUGAAAACAUCCCAUGAUAGUCUUGUAAUUAUGGUAAUGAAUCUGUGGGCAUGCAAAUGAACAGAUAGAAUAAUGGUAGAGCAAUUCAAUUUAAUUGGUGAACAUUGUAUAAAGUCCCGAAUUUGAAGGACUGGGAGUACGAAGAAAAACACUAGUAUCUCUUUACAAUCAACGUAUUUUGUUGAAGAUGAUAUAUUUGCUAGUAUUGAGUUUGUGAUUGUAGGAGAGUGCCAAUCAAAUCAAUGGAGGGUGAUGGAGGAUGAAUAUCAACAAUGGUUGAUCACUUAAAAAAAAUUAAAAUAGUGUUUUUUUGAUAAAAAAAAAUUAUCAAGAGGUUAAAAGUUGAGUUUUUAUUUGAUUUACUCAAAAUCAAUCCAGAUUUUUUAUCAGUUUGAAUCAAGUUAUUUAUGAAAAUUUUGUGGUAUUCAAUAAGUAACUGAUGAUAUCCUAUUAAUUAUUUUUCAGAUCUAUAUUGAAAAAAAAUACAAAUAAAAAAAGAAAGACAAAAUGAAACUCAUAACUUGCUAAAAAUAAUAAAAAUAUAUCUAUCUAAAAUUUCUCUCUCGUAAUUGUAUUUAUUUAAAAAAAAACUCAAGGAAUGAGUUUGGGAAUGAGUGGUAAGCAUGGAAUGAAAGGAUGCAGAUAAAUAUAGCAUUUAAAGUUUUUAGUGAUAGAUAGAUCAACAGAGACUGUUAGUUGGCUGACGGUCAAAUGCAUACAAUGUUUCAAUUAUAACUCUUUCCCUGGCUUCUUCGAACAGAAGAUGAAAUCAAAUUUGAUUACGCUAAUUAAUUAACUGUAGCUUUCAAUGAUUUUGCAGUCAUAUUAGAGCAAAAUGUAUAUUGUGAUUAUAGAAGCGAGAAACGCAUCUAUUUGCAAUUUUGCAUGUCGAUUAUUAUUCUCUGUUUCCGAUCAUGGAAAUCAGUAGUCAAGAAAAACACUCAGAAACCCAGUACAUCGGGUAACCAACAACUUAUACCGAUUGAAUGUUGAAGAUUAGUUACAAGUGCAAGUGCACUUCAUUCCUUGACUUCUGGUUGUCUAUGAAAGAUUCUGCACUAGUAUAUGCUUUCCAGCACGUCAUGCUAAGAAGGGAUAUUCAGUUCCUGCUGACGUUCAAAUUUGUUUUUUGAUCAAUGCUAUCGUACAUAGUGUCGAAUUUCUUUACGGAAACCAACGUAUCUUAUCCUCACAAUUUGUGAUGCUGUUGAAAGUUUCUCUCAGUCACCACUCAGCAAUACGAUAUUUGUAUUGUUCGGAGUUCUUGGCCCAGCAACUUCCAAUUGAAUCCUGAUGAGAGAAGCCGAAGCUCCUACAAAAUUACAGACCUAUAAAAGCAGACAAAAGAAUCCAUUUUGGAGCCAAAAAAAUAUAUGCUUCCAGUUUCAAAUCUAUAAGUUAGCCAAUCCUUUGAAGCAGAACUAGAGACCAGUUAAAAAUUCAACUGUUUUGACCAUUAGUUCUAGAAGAUGUGAACAGUUUACAUCUAAAAGUGUUUUGUGCUGGUGGGGUCGGGAGAAUGGUUCUGAUCAACUUGUGUGUGUGAUUUAUGCUUUGCGCUUUGCAGGGCAAUGCAGAGUACUUUUUUUUAAUAGAAAAAAAAUAAUACUUUUUAUAUAUAAAUAAAUUAUAUUAAAGUUAAUAAAUGAUAGCUGUGAAUUAUGUAUUCCAAAAACAUUAAGGAUUGGUUGAGAUUGGAAUUUUUUUUUCAUGCUACUCAAUAUGAAAACUUUGUAUCAUAUAUUUGUGUUUAGAUUAAUAUUGUUUUGUUUUUCUAUUGAAAGAUAGUUUUAUAAUUUUGAAAAUACCUAAAAUAAUUUCUUGGAGACUCACAUUGAUAUAGAAAUUCUUGCCAUUGGCCUAGAUUAGAGGGAGAAUCAAUAUAUUUCCUUAAGAAAAAACAGAGAGAGAUGAUGAUCAAAAUCUCUUUCUAUUUUGGAGUUGAUUAAUUUGGUUGCACGAUGAGUCUACCUAGCAAGCCACAACAUAAUAAUUCUUAAAUACCAAAAAAUAAAAUUUAAAAUAUUUAUGAACUAAAUUAUUUUUUUAUUGUUUCAUGCUUCAAGAAAAAAAAAAGAAAAAAAAAGCAAGAGAAUCUAGCCCUUACCAAAACCCAGACCAGCAAGCUCAGAGGUGUCGUUUAGCCGGGUUAUUACCCAUCAAAUAUAAAAUGACAACAACCCAAGAGGUGUCGUUUAGCUCUUAGGCUGCGUUUGUUUCCCGAAAAGUGGUUUUCAGAAAACUACUUUUCAAAUUUUUCUGUAUUUAUUUGCCAUUAGGAAAGUUGAUUAACGAAUAACACUUUGCGGUCAACGGAAAACACUUUUCAAUCAAAUAAAAAUUUGGCUUGGUUUCCAGGAAAGUGUUUUCCUUUUAUUUUGGGUGGAAAACACUUUCCGGAAUUUGUGAAAAAUUUAGAAAUGUCAUAUUAUUUGUUGAUUAUAUCAAAUUUGGUCCUCAAAUUUUUGAUUUCUAUAUAUAUUUUGUUUUGAAUAUUUGUUUUUCAAUUUCAUCCUUUAGAAUUUAAUUUUUAUAUUAACUUUGAUCCUCAUUUUUAUAAUUGUUAUUUGAUUUUCCCUUAACAUUUUUUAAUUGAAAAUUUUUAUCUAUCAAAUUUGAUCCUCAUUAUUUUGAUUGUUACUUAUUUUAUUUGAAAUAAUUUAUGAAAUUUUAAUUAUUAUUAUUUUAAUUUCUUCAUCUUUCAUUUUUUUUUUUUUAGAUUUGAUUUCUAUUAUUUUGAUUAUUAUUUAUUUUAUUUGAGAUAAUUUGAAAUCAUUUUUUUUCAAUUACAUUCUCAUUCAACUUUUUAAUUUGUAAGAUUUGUUCCUCAUUAUUUUAAUAAACUUGAGAAAAAUAAAACAUUAAUAAGUUAUUUUCCAGCUCAUUUUCCAUGACAUAACCAAACACUAGAAAGUAUUUUUCAAUUUAUUUUUCAUUACACUACCAAACAUCGGAAAAUAAUUUAUUUUUCCGGAAUUCAUUUUCCAAAAAAAACUACUUUCCAGCAAACAAACGGGGCCUUAAAUACACAUUUUUUUACCGCAUUUGUUACCACAAACGGGGCCUUAAAUACACAUUUUUUUACCGCAUUUGUUACCAUGCAUGUGAUUGGUUAUCUACUUUAGCUGCAUGCCUUAUAUGGUUUUUUAAUAAUGUGAGUAUAAUUUUAUUUAUACAUAUUUACUUAUAUAUUCUAUGUGAGUAUAAUUUUAUUUAUACAUAUUUACUUAUAUAUUCUAAUAAAAAAAUUAUCUUAACAAUUCGUUUAUAUUGAUACUUUUAGUCAGAAAACCUAUUGAAGAAUAAAUCUUUGAAUAAUAUUUUUUAAUGUUUUUCAUAGAUAUGUGAGGCUUACCUUUCUUUAACAUAAAAGUAACUUUUUAUUUAGCUCUUUCAAGCUAUAAAAUUACUUUUGACUCUCUCGUUGAAAACACCACCUUCCUUUUCUCCGCUUAUUUCACCUACCAUAGUUAUUCACGGUGGUGAAAGUUAAAUAUGAGUUAUUGAGUUUUAAAUAAUAAUAUGUAUGUUUCACACACAUUAAAUUUUUUUUAUGUAUAUUUUUGUGUUGAUAUUAAAAAUAAUUUUUUUAAAAAAAAAUAUUAUUUUAAUAUAUUUUCAAACAAAAAACAUUUUAAAAAGCAACUAUUAUCACAAUAACAAAUAUGUUCGACAUCUUUGAAAAUUUGUAAAACAAAUAUGUAUUUAAUUCUCAAAAAAAAUAAUCUCAUUGCUAUCUCAGCUAGAACACAAGAUAAGACAUUUUAUUUUCAAUCAAUAUUAAUAACUUGCAUAUUAUUUUAAAAAAAUCCACCUUUUAAACUAACAUAUAAUUAUUCAUAAAAAAAUUAAAAAUAUUUAUAAAAAACUUCAAUUGUUUUUUAAAAACAAAGAUAUAAUUGAACAACCAUUUAAAUAUAAUUGAACAACCAUUUAAAUAUUAUUUUAAUAAAUUGAUUCCAAUAUAUAUUUUUUUAUAAAAAAGGAAACAUCCAAAAACCUGGUACCAAGGUCUUUAGUGGCAGAAAGCGGGCUUGGAUAUGCAGGACUCCUAACUAUCCUUGUACACUAUUGAGCACAUAAACAAUGGAAACCUGGUCCGAAACCAUUAACGCUGGUGCUGAAAAGUGAAAUACAUAUAAAAGAUCGAGGUUACAUUUCUGCUGGUAGUGAAAAGUGAAAACUUCUUCAAUUUAUUUUCAGUGAAAAGCUUUUGAUUUUUUGAAUGUUUAAAAAAUAUAUUUAUUUGAAAAAAAUAUUAAAUUAAAAUUCUUUAUAUGUUUUUCAAUAAUUUUGAUAAUAUAAUGAUAAAAAUUAAAAAAUAUAUUUUCAAAAAGCAUAUUAAUGCAAUGAACUACUGUUGCAGGCAUGAAUAUUCCAUCAAUAUCAAUAUAUCGAGCAUUAUUUUAUUUUAUUUUAAUAUCAUCUCUGCUUUCUCACAUCCAGACCACGUAUAUUUCUUCAGUCCGGUUAAAAAAAGGACCAUUAUUAGUGCUAAAAGUAGAGUAACAUAGUCUUAAAUAUGAUAUGAUCUACAUUUCAGGAUUUGGAAUUCUUUCCUUGGAAUAAAUAAAAGGUAAACAAAACUUAAUAAAAAAACGCAGUAAUCCUAGCAUUAUCCAAUCACAAUUAUUGGCCUUCGUUGCCUUAUGUAUAUUGAUGAGGAAACAACGAGCGUACAACCAUCGCUUGGCAGGAUUAUCACUAACGUCCUUGCCUUAAUUAAUCUUCAUGUCACGAUUUAUCAUUGCACAAUCCCUUCACGGAACCGUGCAUACUUCAAUUGAACCACAACUCUCAAUAAUUUCAUCUACAAACAACUGAAUAUUCUUGUCCGAUGAACCACCACCGGCAACUGCCUCUCUUGCCGCGAUCCUCAAUUCCCUUGCAUUGGAUUUAAGCUCCACAGACUUUGGUCCGUCCAUGAUCUCUCUAAUACAUCUUUCAACUUCCUCAUUGCUAACAAUCCCAUCUUGAUUUGCUCUAAGCCUUAGACCAAUGCGAAAAACAUCAACAAUAAGUUUUGCAUUUGUUGGCUGGUCGCUCCACUUGGGGUAUGCAAUCACCGGCACGCCCGCAGCAAUUGUUUCUAACAUAGAAUUCCAUCCACAAUGAGUUAUAAAACACGCAAUAUAUAGCUGGGUGGGCUAAAACUUUGGUUUGUGGAGACCAUGAUACAACCACCCCUUGGUCUUUGGUCUCCUCCAAGAAUCCUAAUUAACGGCAAUUGUCCUGCACCAUCAGGUUCUUGUAAGUCUGGUUUCUUAACCGCCCAAAUAAAUGGAGUGUUACUGUUCUUCAGGGCUUUCGCCAUGCACUCCAUUUGUUUGGCUGAUAAGACAACAAGGCUUCCAAAAGAUAUAUACGUAUAUAACUGAAGAAGGGGCUCCCUUGUUUAACCAUUCAAUGCAAGUAUCUUCUGCUUUCCACAUCUCGACACCCGUAUCGUGAUCUUUAUCUUCACCAAGAAGUGAUGGAAGAACUAGAGGGCCAAUGGGACUAAUAGGGCAGAGAUCAGCCAUGGACUCAAUAGCAUCUUUCUCAAGCCCAAAGCAUGAGUUCCCAAGAACCCAUUUAUACAUCUUCAUGUUCUGGAACAUCUCUGAGAACAAUUUAGGAAAGAUACCAUAUGGAUUUGAAGGAAGAACAAAAGAAGGUAAAUCUUCCGUAUUCAACAGUGGCAAGCCUGGCAACUCAACACUCAUUUCAGGAUCUGUUAAAGUAGGAAAUGAGUUUAGCUUAUUGUAAAAGCGAUAAUAAAUGGCAUAAAGUGAACAUGGCUGUAUCCAAAACAUGGCACAGGGAAUUCCAUGAUUGAUGGCAACAUCAGCUACCCAGGUAACAAAUGGGUUGGUGAUGAUGCAAGAGAGCUUUUUGUGACCAUUACUGGGGAAAUGCUCCUUUAUAAGGUUUGAGAGAUUGAUGGUUCCAAAUUUGGCUAAACUCUUCUUGUACGAUUCGUAAUUAACCAUGCGGUCGUAGUUUAGGCUUUGACCAUCAGAGAAGAAGCGAACCUGGACUCCAGAGAUUGAGAUGGUGGAGGAGGUGGGGUUGAUGGUGGAAGAUUUGAGCAUGCGGUGACGGGUGAAUUCAGUGGUGGCCAGUGUGACAUGGAGACCUUUAUUGACCAAGCAUUUACCUAGUCUAACCAUGGGGUUUAAGUAACCCUGAGAUGAGAGUGCCACCAUUAGCACAUGAAUUUCUUCUUCUUUGUUUUCCUUCAAGAUUUCCAUGACUUCACAGCUCACACAACGAGCGAGAGAAAGAGAGAUUAGGUUAAGGAGGGCAGGCGAUUGACAAAUCACUGUAUAUGGAAAAAUCACGAAGGACAACUCAGCAAAGUAUAGACGCAGGCAAUGACGCAUGGCAUUAUAGGGAUCCAGAUUAAUAGUGUGUUUGAUAUUAUGAUAGCUGUUGUGGUUGUGAUUUAAAAAAAAUUAUUUUAUAAAAAGUAUUUUUAGUUGAGGUUGGUUUGAAAAAAUAGGUGUUUGGUUAAAACUGUAGUUAAAAUUGAGGUUGAAGAAAAAGUAGUUUUAACGUGUUUGGUUAAAAAAAUGUUUUUCAAAUUGAGGUUAUAAAAUAAUUAUAUAUAUAUUAAUGAUUUUUAACUUAAAUAUUGUAGAUUUAACUACUGUUAUUACAUCAUGAAAUAAAUAAUAUUGAUAUCAAAUAUUUUUUAUUAUUCCAUUAAACUAUAUACAAUGUCAUUACAUACGAAAUCUAUCCAACAAGGACUAUAUUUUUUAUAGUUUCUUAAGCGCGCAACAACAAAAACUGAUUUUUUAAAUUUAUGUAGUGUUAUUAAAUAAUAAAGAUUGUGAUAUCUUUAUUAUUGGAAUUGCGAUCAAAUUCCACAAAUGUUACGUCAUCAUGCGAUAUCUUUCUAAUUUAUGUAGUGUUAUUAAAUAAUAUUAAAUACUAGUUUUUUAAGUACAACACAAUUUUUUUUAAAAAAAAUUACAAUUUCAUUAUAGUAUAAUUAAAUUUAAUUCACCUUAAACUAAUUUUAAAAAAAAAACAAAAAAAAAUAUUGUUCACGAUUAACUGCACUGGUGUUGUUCGGGAAAAAAAAACUAAACUUUUCUUAUUGGUUUUUUUUUUAAAAAAAAAGAACAUCUUCACUGAACAGUGGAGCCAUGAGAAGCAGCAUUUUGCUGCUUCUCCAAUCCAGCGGCUGGGCAGCAAAAAUCAGUAGUCCCUACCAAGCAAAAUCAGGUUUGUUUACUUUACUAAAUAUAAAAAUAUAUGGUUGCGAGUGAACCUUACCCGCAACCACAAUACCAAACACCUAAGAAGGUGAGAAUGACAAAACUCAAAUCAAAGUGUUAAUCGUGUAUCCAAUCUCGAAAAGAAAUUAGAAAUAAAUAAAUAAAAGUGUUAAAUCAUCAUCAUGAAGAAAGAGAAUAAGAAAAAAUUAAAAGUAGUAAUCCAUUAUCGUUGAUAAGUGAUUUUGAUUGUUCUAUCUUAUUUUAAAAAUCUUCGUCCACUUUAAGAUUCUCGGUGCACUUUAUUAGUGUUAAACGUUGUAAUAAAAAUUAUUUUUUAAAAAAAAUAAAUUAAAAUAAUAUAUAUAUUAUUUUUUAAAUUUUAUUUUUAAUAUUAACACAUUAAAAUAAUUCAUAAAAUAAUAUACAUGGUCGGAUAAACAAAUAACCUUUUUAAAUUAAAAAGCGAUGAGUUCAUGAUACAUAAUUUUAUUAAAAAAAAUUAUAAAACUUAAUUUUUAAUAAAAAUAAUAUUAAAUAAUAAAAUUUAAAUUUAAAAAAAAUAAAGAAAAUGAAAAAAAUACUCUAGUAAAUAAUAAUCAAGUAGGAGGGGUACAGUUUAUUUGCUAAAAUGACAGGCACGUCCCUCCCUGGAUGGGCUCAAGUAUUGCCCCUUUUAUUCCACACCAAAAAAAAAAAAAAAAAGCAGCCCAUCAAGGGAAAACCACCCAGAAAGCUGGUCCCAAACUCUCGGCGGACAGAAAGCGAUCUCAGCAGUCUGAUAUCAACAUUAUAAAAAUGGAGUUAACUAACCGCUUGUCAAAGUGAUUUCAACAUUCAACCCAAGUAAACAGAGCAAAGCCAACUUUCUUUGAUGAAUGUUAGUUCUAACCGCUCUAAUUUCUUAUAAUUAUAUAGUGAAAAAAGACUUGCUGGACGUUUUCCUAUUAAAAAAAAACUCAAAGUUUGAGCAUUCUGUUGCUAAACCUUGCUAUUAAUUAUUAUAUAUUUAUUAUAGUUAUUUAAUUUAGGCUUCCACGCCACUAGAAUGACCACAACUCGCACAGUAAUAGUCGUGCUUGUAGAAUUAAAAAAUUUCCAAUUGAUUUGACAAAUAUUUUGGUGGUCUUAUUUGUUAAAUGUCAUCUUAUUUUUUGUUAUGGUAAUUAAAUUAAAUUAAAUAUUUGAAAAAUCAAGGUUUUAUUUCCAAAUAUCAUUUUUGGAUCACUUAAGCCUUUUUUUUUAAUGAUUACCAAGUUUGUGAGGUGUUAUUUAAAAAAAUAUUUUACAAGUAAUUUUAUCAGUUGUCAUUUAUUUUUACAUAUCUUUCACUCAAAAUCUUCAAAUUUAACUCUUUAAACCUCUAUAAAUAAAUAAAGGGAUUCACUAUCACAAGAAAGGAAAGGGAAAAAAAAAAGUUAUACUCAAGUAUUGAAACUCUGCAAAAAAAAAAAGCUGCCAAGCCUUGCACCUCAGUAGAGUUCACCUUCAAUACUUUGAGGAUAAAUCAAAGAAGUUAUCAAAUUUUGCUCAAAACUUCAUAUCACACUUUGCAAAAAGCAUGCCAAGUCUUCACAUUUUUCAGGAUAAAUUUGUAGGUGCAAUGCCAUAUAUAACGACCACGACUUGCAUAGUAGUGGUGGUGCUACAAUAUCAUAGUUUUUUAGGGUGGGCUACUGGGCUUGAAAUGUUUUCACAGGCACCUAAUACUCUUUUAUGUCAGAGUGAUGUUGUGUUUUCUUUUCAUGAAUCAAACACAAAUUACACACAUAAAAUAAAUUUAAUAAAAUUUUAUAUAAUUACCGUAUUUUAUUCGUAGAACAUGAAUCGUGAUACUUGUACAAAAAUCUUAUAAUAUUUAAUUUAAUUUUCUUUAUAAAAGUUUGUCGUUAUAGUCCCCACACAAAAAAGAAAAAAGUGCAAAAAAACACAUUCCCAACCAAACCAAAAACAAAUAAUAGUAGUGAGAAGAGGAAGUCAGAGUUCCUAGAAAAUAAUAAAAAAUUAGUUGAGGAUGUUAAAAAAAAAUUAAAAUUUGACAGUAUAUUUUUUACUAAUGAGAGCCAUGUUGACAAGAAAAAUUGAAUUUAAGAAAGAAAAGUUCAAAAUCAGAUAUUUAUAGACUCAAUUGAAGGUUUAAUUGAAUUUGUAGAGGGUUUGAUUGAAAGAAAAAUUGAUUUUAAGUCAAUUUAAGCUUUAAUUGAAAGAAAUUAAAGUACAGGGCUCAAAUUAUAAUUUUUAAGAGUUGAUUUGGUCAAAUCAGGAGCUUCAUUGCAUAAAUAUCAAAGUUUGAUGCCCAAUUAGGGACUUGAUUGAAGAAAUCCAAAACCAAUAACCAAACUAGAAAAUACAAAUAAAUAAAGGAACUGAAAUUAUCCGAAUCAAGAGCCAAAUUAAAAGUUUAUUGAUCAAUUGAGAUUCAAAUUGGAUAAAUUCGAGACCAAGUAUCAAAAUGAAAAGGACGACCAACUUUAGAGUUGACAUUUAAUUUUGACAAAGACACAAUUAAAUCGAUUCUUAAAAUUAAAAUCGCAACUGAAAACUUGAUUGAACAAAUAAAAAAUUUAAAACUUAUUUGGAAAUUAAUACAUUUUAACGUCAUUUUCUUUCAAAUGAAACAACAUCGUUUUGUUAAAACGGCAUUGUCUCAUGCAUUGUUCAUAAAAAAAGCCCAAAAUAGUGCCGUCUUGAACUGCAUUGUGUGUCUUCUUCUUCCCUGACUCACAUAGGCAGGGGAAGAAGGUUUUCGUCCCCUCUUUUGCAGCGUCCGUUUGGCUCUCUCCUAAGAACUCAAAACCCCGACACAAUCCACACCCUCUCAUGACAUACUACCAUGAUGAAAAAGCUAGGAGAACCAUGCCUAAUUGCGACUUUGGGGCGGCUGCAUAGAGGUCGCCUCAGCCACCCUACCUUUACACCAUGACUGGACAAAAAUAGUAGCUCUUUCUUCCCCUUUCCGCCCUUAUAAAUACUAGGGGACAGAGAGGAGCAGGGGACGAAAAAACGAGUGAAAUUAUAGAGAGAAAGAAAGAAAAAGAAGAACAAAAGAGAAAAAGAAACAAGGAACUUGAGAACUAAACAAGAAGAGACAGAGAGGAAAGAACUUAUAAAAAAGGGACAGAAACAAGAGAAGAGGAUGAAAACAAAAAUAGAGAGGAGUUACAUAAGAAGUGAAACAAAGGAAAAACACACUGGAAAAAAAAAAACUGUCGACCGGCACAACAGCUCCCUAUUGCACAGCCACCUUGUUAGGAAGAAGAACAGUUCCUCGCCGCGAACCAUCGCCAGCCGCCACCAGUAGCACUGCCACCGCUAGAGAACAAAAGGAGAAGAACAGAUAAAUAUAGGGAAGGAAAAGAGAUAACAGAAGACAAGCAGAAGGAAAAUACAGAGAAAGAGGAAGAACAACCAGCAGCGUCCUCCGCAAACCACCGCCAGUCCUCUUCGCCCAACGUCAACAACAGCACCGCCACUGCAGGUCAGCUUCCACCUCCUUUAUUUUCCUCUUCUCCUUCUCUGCGUGCAACCUCUACUGUUCACGUUUCUGAGCAGAAACUGCCCUUACCUUGCAUUAUUUGUUGUAUAACGAACCAAAUAUCGACCUCAUUCACUUCACUUGCCUCCUACAAUUACUGUCGUUUGCUCAAAGCUAUAUGUUCUACUUUCUAGCUGCUGGCUGAUCAUUAUACUGGGAGCAAGUAUCGAGGAGCCUGACACCCUCGAUUCCCCAUGCACCUUCUUUCAUUUCUCGUUUAUUUGUAGACGUGCUAGUAUAUGUUUUGGAAUGAUGAGUCUCUCUCUUAUGUUAUUUAUUAUUAAAAUGAAAAUAAAGUGUGCGUAGGGACAUCAUGUUAAACUAAAAAAACUAAAAAAAAGAAAAUGAAAGCAAGGAAAACAAAAUGUCAUAUUUUGGCAAUAGAAUACUCAAGCCAAAAAUAUGCUUAAAUGACUUAUAUUGAAACCUUUGAGAUUGUGCUCCAUCUGCAUGACUAGGAUUUACAUAUGGGUCAAGAUUAAUGUAUACUUUUUGAAUAUUAUCGGCAUUAUUAACUAAAAAUUCAACUAUUUGCCAAUAUAAUUCUAGAUUACGUUUAAGAGUUGUAAUGUUAAAUUUUAAACCAUGCAUAAUUCUUUUUUAAAGACUGAAAAAAUUCUUAAGACCCUAUAUUUUCAAAACUAAAAGGUUUAGAAUUUGUUGUCCUCCACCCACUUGAUGAUCUAUCACUUACUUUCUUAAAACUUAAAUCUAUAUCUUUGUAUUUCUUUGGAUUUUUGUUACUCCUCGACAUUAUAAAGAUACUAUAUAUAAUAAAAUUUAUACCCAAAUCAUAAGACAAUCAUGAAUACAAUAAAAACUAAAAAUAUUACAACAACUUUAAUUUUCAACAACCAUUACAAGCAAUUCAAACCAAUAAGAUUUUAGCAAAUUAUAAAUAGGAGAGUACAAAAAAUCGACAACAACCAUACAUAUGGCACUUGGCCUUUACUGUAUGUUAUUAAUACCUAAUUAAAAGAAGUAAAGAGUAGACAACUACAUAACAAGAGUAAUUUCAUCAUACUAACACAGGAUCAAACCCGUUCCAUGUUCACUGCAUAUAUAGCAAAUCUCCUCAUGCCGAUCACCCCACCAGUUCAACCACUUUCUCGUUGGACUUCACCACUACCGACACUGGAAACUCAUUAGAACCAAUGCACUUCCCAGCAAUCUCAGACUCAUUCGCUUUUACAAUAUCGUCAGUAAAAUAUCGUAUAUUCCAGUCGGAGGAACCACCCUCAGCCACUGCUGCCUCGGCUGCCUCCUUCCAUUUCAUUGCAUUCUGCUUCAUUUCCACUGCCUUAGGUCCCACUGUGGCCUCCAACAAGCAUUUCUCUAUCUCAUCACGAGUAAUCAGUUUGUUCUCUGCUUCUCCGCGGCACAAUCUCACACCAACCUUAAGGAUGUCGACCAAAUAUUUUGCAUUAGUUACUUGAUCACCCCAUUGAGGGAAAGCCACCACUGGCAUGCCUGAUGUGAGUGCUUCCAUAGUAGAGUUCCACCCACAAUGUGUUACAAAGCACGCAACUGAUGGGUGACCUAAAACCUUCUCUUGAGGACUCCAUUGCACCACAUUGCCCCUGUCUCCUGCUUUCUCCAAGAACCCAUCUGGCAGAACAAGGAGGUCAUUUCCUGAAUCUUUGUGGGGUGGUUUCAUAACUAACAAGAAGGAGACGCCCGAAUUCAGUAACCCACAAGCCAUCUCGUUCCAUUGGUCUUGCUUCAAUUGUACGACACUACCGAAAGACACAUAAAUAACUGAUGAAGGUGGCUUUGUGUCAAGCCAUUCGAUGCAAUCAUCUGCCUUCAGCAAGUCUCCAUGGACCGUUGUCUUUAGUACCUUAGGAUUUCUGAAUAGCGGCCCAACGGUCUUGAUGGGGAAGAUUUCGGACAUGUGCUUGAUAAGCUCUGGUUCAAGCUCUUCGAAUGUUUCCAUCAGGAUGCAAAAUGGCUUGUCAAGAUUUUUGUACUGACAUAAAAUAGCCCUCCUCAAGAAAGGAUAAGGAGUUGUAGGAUAUAAGAAACUAGGCACUUCAUCAUGUUUUAGGAGAGGCAUCCAUGGUAGUUGGACAUCUAUCUCGGGGUGCUCCUCAUCAGGGAAAGGUACAGCACCGUGAUAGUAAUGGUAAUAUGAGGCAAAACAAGCGCAGGAUUGAACCCAAAGCAUUGCAGAAGGGAGACCUAGACCUGUGGCCACAUCUGUAACCCAAGGAAUGAAAGGGUUGUUUAUGAGGCAAGAAACAGGCCGCCCUUGCUCUGCAUUUUUCUUGAUCAUUUGAGGAAUUACUUGUUUACCAACAAGCUCAAGUUGAAGUAAGUACUGGUCAAGGUCUUGGUGCCUAGGCUCGUCCUCUUUCCAUCCAUCUUCAAAGAAUUCAAACCGGAUAAAGCCAUCACCAAACGGGGUUAGCUUAUCAAUGAUGUCACUGGCUUCUCUCAUCUCUUUGCCAGUGGUUUCAGUGGUGGAGAAGGUGACAAGGAAGCCUUUGGAGGCAAGAAUUUUUCCAAGUCUAAGUAAAGGAUUUACAUGGCCUUGGCCUGGGAAAGAAACAAGGAAGAGAUGGCCAAGAGACUUUGAAACCAUUUUUCUCUUCAGGGUUUUUUUGACAGGCAAGAGACAGAAGAGAUUGAUGUACAGGAGAGGACUUGAUGAGUUUGGGAGUGAGUGAUGAGCAUGGAAUGAAAGGAUGCAGAUAUAUAUAGCAUUUAUAAGGAGCUACAUUCAAAGUUUUUAGUAGUAGAUAGAUUUAUAGAGACUGUUAGUUGGCUGGCGGCCAUUUGUAUACAAUUUUUCAAUUAUAACUCUUUCCUUGGCUUCUUUGAACAGAAGAUGAAAUCAAAUUUGAUUCCGCUACUUAAUUGACUGUAGCUUUCAAUGAUUUUACAUUCAUAUUACAGCAAAAUAUAUAUUGUGAUUAUAGAAUCGAGAAACACGUCUAUUUGCAAUUUUGUAUGUCGAUUAUUAUUCUCUUUUUCCGACCAUGGAAAUCAGUAGUUAAGACAUGUUUGAAAAUCUUUGGAAAACACUCAGAAACCCAAUACAUCGGGUAAACCAACAACUUAUACCGAUUGAAUGAUGAAGAUUAGUUCCUAGUGCAAGUGCAUUUCAUUCCUUGAUUUCUGGUUGUCUAUGAAAGAUUUAUUUGUCUUCUUGCGCUAAUUACCUGCACUACUUACCGAUUACACGUUAAUUACCCCCUCCUCUUAUUCUUCUUUAAUAAGAUUAGAAAAGCAUUAUAGCGGACAAAAAACCAACUUAACCGUAUAACACAAAAACAAAUUGCAGAGAAUUAUGCAGAUGAAAACUGAAUUAAACCAAAAAAAAACGAUUGUAUAUGUAUAAUAAUAUUAAUAAUAAAUUGUGAGUCAAUGAAUUUGACUUUCCAUUUACAGACACGGUACUGCUCUCUUAAACAGAAAAAAGUACAUCGUCAGUUUUGAUUGACUCUACAGUAAUUAAUAUUCUUUGUAAUAUUAGUUUUAUAUCUAGUUUGUUAGAAGUUCGAAAAACGUUAGAUGAGGAUGCUUUAAUAAUUGUUCGGGAGAAUUAAUAAAUAGCUUCCUGGAUUCUACACUAGCAUAUGCUUUCCAGCACGUCAUGUUAAGAAGGAUAUUCCGUUGCUGCUCACGUUCAAAUAUUGACAUAUUGAACAGCAUAUUGUUUUUUUUUAAUAUAUUAAAAUAGCAGUAUAUUAAAUUAAUUUUGGUUAAUUAUGAAAAAAUUCAUGAUUUUAGACGGGAAAACAUGAUAACCUCAUUGAACUUAUAUAAAAACAAAUAUGAUAAAUCAAAUACUGAAAGCCAAAAAAAAUACAAAAUCUAAAAAAAGAAAGUAAAAAAAGCAACUCAAGAAAAUAAACCAGUGAAUACAAGUCAUCUAAAACAAUGUUUGGUUCCAACAGAUAAAAUUGAUCAGAAUCCCAAGGCAGAAAUAUGAUCGUCAUUUUAAACGCCCCCAUAAAAGUUUCACCAUGUGAUCAAGGUCUUGAAGAAAUUCGAGUUAAAUUCCUUCCCUGUCGACCAAUUCAAAAAGAAAUCUCCAUUGCCAUUAAUCAUAAAUAAAGAUUGUUAUUGAGAUGGCCUGCGCUAGCUGAAUAGCCUCCCUUUCUUUUGGGGGCAAGCCAAAUGAAUUCAUUGAAACAAGGAACGAAUAGGCACUCAAGCGGAAAGAAAAGCAUCCUGAUGAGAGAAGCCGAAGCUCCCACGAAAUUACAAGCCUACAAAAUCAGACAAAAGAAUCCAUUUCAGAGCCAAAAAAUAUAUGCUUCCAGUUUCAAAUCUGUAAGUUAGUCAAUCCUUUGAAGCAGAGCUCGAGACCAGUUAAAUGGUGUCACUUCAACAGCUACCAGUUAUGCCAGCUGUUUUGACCAUUAGUUCUAGGUCUGCUUCACGUUGCAGAAGACGUAAAUUGUAUGCAAUUUUUCAUCUGAUCUCGUACAUAAUAUAUACUUCUCCUUUGUCCAGUACAUUAACUUUGACAAUAUAUAUAUAUAAUCAAAACCAAAUUCAUAAUAAAAAACAACUCCCUUGCAAACGAAAUUGGAUGGCUUUUUUUCUUUAGUUAGUAGAGUUUAUUUAAUUUUAAUUAACGUAUAACCUCCACGAAAUUUUUUUGGGUUUGAUGGGUGGAUAAGAAAACAUACCCAUCACCAUUCUUUCUUUCUUUUCUUUUUUUAUCAAGAACGACGGGGCUAAAGCAUAAAACAUAAAAUUACAAUUUACAAGCAACACAAGCAAGGAAACAUAUAUCCCAUGAAUAUCUUCAACGAUCGAGUUUGAAAACAUCCCGUGAUAGUCUUGUAAUUAUGGUAAUGAAUCUGUGGGCAUGCAAAUGAACAGAUAGAGUAAUGGUAGAGCAAUUCAAUUUAAUUGGUGAACAUUGUAUAAUUAAAGAAUUUGAAGGAUUGGGAGUACUAAGGAAAACACUAGUAUCUCUUUACAAUCAACGUAUUUUGUUGAAGAUGAUUUGCUAGUAUUGAGGUUGUGAUUGUAGGAGAGUGACAAUCUGGAGGGUGAUGGAUGAUGAAUAUCAACAAUGGUUGAUCAUUUAAAAAAAAUUAAAAUAGUGUUAUUUUAAUUAAAAAAAAUCAAGUGGUUAGAAGCUGAGUUUUUAUUUGAUUUACUCAAAAUCAACAUAGAUUUUUUAUCAGUUCAGAUCAAGUUAUAUAUGAAAAAUUUAUGGUAUUUAAUAUGUAAUUGAUGACAUCUUAUUAAUGAUUUUUUAAAUCUAUAUUGAAAAGAAAUGCAGAUAAAAAAAGAAAAAGAAAAUAAAACUCAUAAUUUACUCAAAAUCAACACAAGCAAGGUAACAUAUAUCCCAUGAAUAUCUUCAACGAUCGAGUUUGAAAACAUCCCAUGAUAGUCUUGUAAUUAUGGUAAUGAAUCUGUGGGCAUGCAAAUGAACAGAUAGAGUAAUGGUAGAGCAAUUCAAUUUAAUUGGUGAACAUUGUAUAAUUAAAGUCCUGAAUUUGAAGGAUUGGGAGUACUAAGAAAAACACUAGUGUCUCUUUACAAUCAACGUAUUUUGUUGAAGAUGAUAUAUUUGCUAGUAUUGAGUUUGUGAUUGUAGGAGAGUGCCCAAUCAAAUCAAUGGAGGGUGAUGGAUGAUGAAUAUCAACAAUGGUUGAUCACUUUUUUUAAUAAAAAAAAUUAAAAGGUUAGAAGUUAAGUUUUUAUUUGAUUUAUUCAAAAUUAAUCUAGAUUUAAUCAGUUCAGAUGAAAUUAUUUAUAAAUAAUUUAUGGUAUUUAAUAAUUAACUAGUGACAUACUAUUAAUUACUUUUCAGAUUUAUAUUAAAAAAAUAUAUAAAUAAACAAAAUAAACAAAAUAAAACUCAUAAUUUACUCGAAAUCAAUACAAGCAAGGUAAUGUAUAUCUCAUGAAUAUCUUCAACGAUCAAGUUUGAAAACAUCCUAUGAUAGUCUUGUAAUUAUGGUAAUGAAUCUGUGGGCAUGCAAAUGAACAGAUAGAGUAAUGGUAGAGCAAUUCAAUUUAAUUGGUGAACAUAAUAUAAAGUCCCGAAUUUGAAGGACUGGGGGUACCAAGAGAAACACUAGUUUGCUAGUAUUGAGUUUGUGAUUGUAGGAGAGUGCCAAUCAGAUCAAUGGAGGGUGAUGGAGGGUGAAUAUCAACAAUGGUUGAUCAUUUUAAAAAAAUUAAAUUAGUUUUAUUUUAAUUAAAAAAAAUCAAGAGGUUAGCAGCUGAGUUUUUAUUUGAUUUACACAAAAUCAAUCUAGAUUUUCUAUCGGUUCAAAUCAAGUUAUUUAUAAAAAUUUUAUGGUAUUCAAUGACUAACUGAUAACAUCUUAUUAAUUACUUUGCAGAUCUAUAUUAAAAAAUAUAUAAAUAAAAAAAAGAUAGACAAAAUAAAACUCAUAACUUACUAAAAGCGAUAAAAAUAUAUUCAUCUAAAUUUAUCUCUCAUACUUGUAUUUAUUUAAAAAAAAACUCAAAAAAUAAUUAAUAAAAUAUCACUAAUUAAUUCAUAAACACUUAAAAUUUCUAGAUUAUUCCCUUUUCUAUUUUUUUUAAUACGAAUCUAUUUAAACUCUAUAUUAGCCUAUUUGGGCUUGUUUGAGAAUGUGAUUGCGAUUGUUUUUUAAAGUGUUUUUCAUUUCGAAAUGCAUCAAAAUGAUUUUUUUAUUUUAAAAAAUUAUUUUUGAGAUCAGCGCACUAAAACGAUUCAAAACAUUUUUAAAAAAUAAAUUUUAAAAAAAAUUGAAUUUUUUAGGAAUGCAGGUUGACCCACAUUUCUAAAUGUUCUCUUCAAAGUUUUUUUUUUAUAUUAAUACAUCAAAAUUAUAAAAAAAUUAAAAAUAUUAAUAAUAUAUUUUAAAAUUAAAAUAUCUUUAAAAUAUAAUAAAAGAUAAAAAUAAAAGUUAUUUCAAUCACACCUGAAAUGACUGAAACAACCUUGGAUUGGAUGUCCAUAACCAAAGAAUGCUUUCAACUGGUAUACUUUUCGUCUAAUCUCGUAAAUAAUACCAAAUAUUCUCCGUGGAGGCAGGGCGAUAGAGAAACUAGUUACGUUGUUGUGCAUCGUGGGGUGUGAUUCCUUCUCUUUACUUGAAAUUACUCCUGAAAUGUUGUUUCCAUCCACAUGGUGUUUCAAGCGAGGCUCAAAGAAGGUGGAUGAUAUGUGCCUUCCCAGCAGUACCAAGGUUGCCAAACGUACACCUUUACCUUUUUUUUAACAGGCAUCUGUAAUAGACUUUUAUGCCUUUGGGCUUCGUUACUACUGAGGUGCUUUCAAAUGUUCACCAUAAUAUGUUUAUACAGAUGUUAUCCCGUUGAUUUUAGAACUUUUACUCCAUCUUCUUCCUUAGUUGAAGGUUCAAUGCAAUGCGCAACCUCUGCC
rnacentral:lncRNA from 1 species